AUUGAACGCUGGCGGCAGGCCUAACACAUGCAAGUCGAACGAGUGGCGGACGGGUGAGUAAUGUCUGGGAAACUGCCUGAUGGCGGGGGUUAACUACUGGAAACGGUAGCUAAUACCGCAUACCAGCCGCUGUGCCCAGAUGGGUUUAGCUUGUUGGUGGGGGAACGGCUAACCAAGGCGCCGAUCCCUAGCUGGUCGGAGAGGAUGACCAGCCACACUGGAACUGAGACACGGUCCAGACUCCUACGGGAGGCAGCAGUGGGGAAUAUUGCACAAUGGGCGCAAGCCUGAUGGAGCCAUGCCGCGUGUAUGAAGAAGGCCUUCGGGUUGUAAAGUACUUUCAGCGGGGAGGCGUUACCCGCAGAAGAAGCACCGGCUAACUCCGUGCCAGCAGCCGCGGUAAUUC
rnacentral:rRNA from 1 species